rnacentral:lncRNA from 1 species
AGAGCUAUUGGGGCUCGGUGGCGGCCGCAGUGGGGUGGAGGGGGCAGGGCGUGGUGAGGUAAGGUGAGUGCCGUAGUGGGGUUCCCUGGAGCCAUGGCCUGCUCCAUUGUCCAGUUCUGCUACUUCCAGGACCUCCAGGCCGCCCGGGACUUCCUCUUUCCUCACCUGCGGGAGGAGAUCCUCAGCGGCGCCUUGCGGAGGGACCCCAGUAAAUCAACAGACUGGGAAGAUGAUGGUUGGGGAGCAUGGGAAGAAAAUGAACCACAAGAACCUGAAGAAGAAGGAAAUACUUGCAAAACACAAAAAACUUCCUGGCUCCAAGAUUGUGUUUUAUCCUUAUCUCCAACCAAUGAUCUUAUGGUGAUAGCUCGAGAGCAAAAAGCUGUAUUUCUAGUGCCAAAAUGGAAAUAUAGUGAUAAAGGAAAGGAAGAAAUGCAAUUUGCUGUUGGCUGGAGUGGUUCCUUAAAUGUCGAAGAAGGGGAAUGUGUAACCAGUGCUCUAUGUAUCCCACUAGCAAGCCAAAAGAGGAGUUCCACUGGGCGUCCUGACUGGACCUGCAUUGUGGUGGGUUUUACUUCAGGUUAUGUACGCUUCUACACUGAGAAUGGUGUGCUCUUGCUUGCACAGCUUUUGAAUGAGGACCCAGUACUUCAACUUAAAUGCAGAACCUAUGAAAUACCACGACAUCCCGGCGUGACUGAGCAGGUAGUGUAAAAAAUUGUGUUCCAACAGUAACAGUGGCAUUAUUUUGAAGCAGUUUCUCUCCUCUUUUUUAGGUAGAAACUUAAAAGAGAUCUUUGUCUUGUGGCACAGUUAGUUAGCUCUGCUAUCAUAGUCUAGAAAUAUAAUCUAUUUGUAGCUGAGUAAAGAAUACCAGUCUUGCUUUUACUUAUUUAAUGAAAUAUUAUAUGUUUCAUUCUACAACAAAGUAAAACCCUUUAGUUAGAAGCCAAGAAAAUUUCUUAUUUUUAGAAUUUAAUAAUGGGAAGGCAAAAAUAUGAUAUUUUAUAACCUUAUAUCUUGUUUUAUUUGGAUUUAGGUGCCAAAAUUACCCAGAGUAAAAGAAAAAAAAUUUGGCCUUGUUACUAGUGAUACUACCUUGUACUUAACUGUUUCUCAGAAAAGGGGUUACUAAGCUUUUGUUCAUAGUGGAAAAUACAUAUAUUCAUUGAAGAUUUCAACUGAGAAAAUAAUGCUGUUUAGUAUCCAAGGCUCUAACUUCUUAGGUGCCUUGUAACAUUUUGGUUGUCUUAGUCAAAAAAUAAUUGUAGGGCCAUUUAAACCAAUAUGCUUUUAUUUGUUUUGCGGAGUGCAUAGUCAAAACUAUGUAAUAUGCCUUCCCUUUGUUGUACUACUUGGCCUCCAAAAGAUUUCAAGUGAACAGAUGUAUAUACUGUAUGCAUUUGUUAAUUUAAUUUGCAUGGGAGAUGGACUGGAGCUGUGAAAGAAUCUUAACUAUCUCGUAGGAGAGACUAGGAUUAAAAUCUAAUAAUAUCUAUGGAUGAAUUAAUCAGUAAUAUAAAGCAAUACCUAAUUUAUUGGUAAUUUAUUUGGACAGAAUACAGUCUGUACAAGCUUAGAGAAAGAGGAGUUCAAUUUGGACCAGGAAAAUAAGAAAAUUUCAUUGAUGAGGCGAGAUUUGCAUUAAACCUUGAAUAAUGGGUAUAGAAUUUAAUUAGGUAAUAGAAUUAGCCAUCCUUAAAAGAUUUUAAUCCAAUACUGAACUGUUUAUAAAAUGCUUUCUCUAUUGUAAUGUACUGUAAGUAGUGAAAUUCUGUAUAUACUGCUAUUUUCUGUCUGUUCAUUGUUGUGAACUUCUUAUGUAUAUUAGUGAAAUAAA